rnacentral:rRNA from 1 species
GAUGAACGCUGGCGGCGUGCCUAAUACAUGCAAGUCGAGCGAACGGACGAGAAGCUUGCUUUUCUGAUGUUAGCGGCGGACGGGUGAGUAGCACGUGGAUAACCUACCUAUAAGACUGGGAUAACUUCGGGAAACCGGAGCUAAUACCGGAUAAUAUUUUGAACCGCAUGGUUCAUAAGUGAAAGACGGUCUUGCUGUCACUUAUAGAUGGAUCCGCGCUGCAUUAGCUAGUUGGUAAGGUAACGGCUUACCAAGGCAACGAUGCAUAGCCGACCUGAGAGGGUGAUCGGCCACACUGGAACUGAGACACGGUCCAGACUCCUACGGGAGGCAGCAGUAGGGAAUCUUCCGCAAUGGGCGAAAGCCUGACGGAGCAACGCCGCGUGAGUGAUGAAGGUCUUCGGAUCGUAAAACUCUGUUAUUAGGGAAGAACAUAUGUGUAAGUAACUGUGCACAUCUUGACGGUACCUAAUCAGAAAGCCACGGCUAACUACGUG